CCUACGGGAGGCAGCAGUCGAGAAUCAUUCACAAUGGGGGAAACCCUGAUGGUGCGACGCCGCGUGGGGGAAUGAAGGUCUUCGGAUUGUAAACCCCUGUCAUGUGGGAGCAAAUUAAAAAGAUAGUACCACAAGAGGAAGAGACGGCUAACUCUGUGCCAGCAGCCGCGGUAAUACAGAGGUCUCAAGCGUUGUUCGGAAUCACUGGGCGUAAAGCGUGCGUAGGCUGUUUCGUAAGUCGUGUGUGAAAGGCGCGGGCUCAACCCGCGGACGGCACAUGAUACUGCGAGACUAGAGUAAGGGAGGGGGAACCGGAAUUCUCGGUGUAGCAGUGAAAUGCGUAGAUAUCGAGAGGAACACUCGUGGCGAAGGCGGGUUCCUGGACAUUAACUGACGCUGAGGCACGAAGGCCAGGGGAGCGAAAGGGAUUAGAUACCCCAGAGUC
rnacentral:rRNA from 1 species